UCUAUAUAUACUCCAACAAGUAUGCAUUCGUACUAGCUGUUUUCACAUGGAUGCAUAUAUGACAGUAAAAAACACUGUAUAUACGGCAGGAAAAGGAACAAGUAUACAAAAUCGGCGCCGGCGGCCAGUCACAAAUCAUGCAGUGUAUAGCGCGCGGUAGCUGACAUCAACUCAACACAUGCAGACGUACGUGCUAUAUGCAUGUAUAUGGGCAUGCUCACAACGCACGUAUUGUGGCAGAACCUCCUGAAUUAAGUGGCCCACAUGCACCCAUCAUUGUCUCAAAGACUUCUGAUCGGCGUGCGCGAGUUCCAAAUGACUCAAGAAGUCUGUCGGGUGUCCUCGGAGGACCCCGAAUCAUCCACAUUUUAACUCGUACAGGAUCAACAUGGAGUUACCACAACAUUACAACAUUUGUUACAAAAAUAACUUACAUCAGAGUGCGGAAGAUUUAUAACUUAAUUUACAACAUAUGAUGAAGUAUAAACUUAACUAAUUUUCCAAAAGGUGUGUAGAGUAGCGGAAGCAUCCUAGGUGAAGCUUCUAAGGUAGAAGAGGUGGAUAAAUCAUGUCGCGCCCACCGACAUGACCUCCAUUAGCAGUCUAAGUCAGCACCUGCAACAGGGGUUAUAAAACCCUGAGUACAAAAGUACUCAACAAGACUUAACCGACUAGAAAAGAGGUGAAGACUCAGGUAUGCAGGCUAUAGGGAUUCAAGGUAAAGCUUUAGCAAGAUCAAAGCAUUUCUUUUGCAUAAAAGCUUACUAAGAGUAAAACCUACUUUCAAGUUUUAACUCAAGAUUAUCACUUAUAACUAGCCAAUAUCAUUAUCCAACUUUCAUAAGCAAAUCACCUCUUUCUUAUACCAAAGAUUCACUUAUUACUACGAUGAUGGUACGAGGAUUGAGGCUCCAUAUCCGAGGAAACACGGCGAUUCGAAUCGAUUAAACCCAGCUGGGGAUUCAGUACCACACGACAUAUGUAGAACUUAAUCUUGCAUAUGUCAACCUUUUCUAUAGAUCCUCCCAUACAAGAACGGGUCCAGCGUCACCCGAGAGUACAGUACACCACCAUCCUACAGCCAAUCUAGAUGUUUCCCGGUCAUCUCAGAUCCGUAAGGUGGGUACACGCUACUCUCGCCAUCUUUCCACUCCCAGUACGCGGUUAGCCGUUCUCAAGUAUCGGAAUAGCUAUAGGUAAGGCUUACCGCCGCAUGUGGGCUGUACUCAAAGGUCUCAAUCACAACAGGCCAAUCAACGGUACGGUCCUUAAUCGACACAGUUGGAGACACUACUUUAAGACUCCAUUCUUAAAGCAAGUCCACCGACCGGUCUCAAGUUGAACAUUAUUGACCAUAAAAGUAUUCCACAACAACCCUUCAAACUUUCUCAUUUGAAAACCUAUCUAAUAAGCAAGACUAAGCAUACUAAACAUUUUCAUAAAGCAAGUAUUAAGGUUAAUAUUGAAAUCAUCAAGGUAGGUAAUGCAGCAAAUAGGAUUCACUCAACUCCUAUUCACCUAAUGCAUCAUUUUAACUCAAGUGAUAUAAAUAACUUUAUGAAAAUACAAGGAUAGGGUUUAAUGUCCGGGGCUUGCCUUGGCCGGAAGGGAAGUCCGACAACUCAGCAAAACCAGAUGGAUCCACAAACUCGGAAGCAACCCACUGAGGAUUAGAUUCCUCCGGAGCGUAGUCUACACGUAGAGUUGCAUAUGCAUGAUCAAUGAGAUGUUCAUGACAUGAUAAAGACAGGUUACAAGUUCUUGGAUGAUAACAACAAUCAUAACUACCUCGAGUACAACUUACCUUCACGGUAUAGAAACAAACUAACUUAGCUAUCAAAACAUAAAUUACUACUAAGCAAAUUUUAUCAUCUUCAUUAAGCAAGGUUGUGAAGCUAUCAUACAACAAAGAUCAUUUAUAUGAAAUAAACCAUAGCAUAUCAUACCAAGUAACCACUGGUUGUCAAUCAAUCCCAAAGAUCAAUCAAAACCUAAAAUGAUUAGGUUUUCUAUUUAUCUUAAUCAAUUCUUAAUUAAAUAUUAAUGGCAGUAAUUAAGUAUUAACAUCAAACAAUAAUUAAAUGCCAAAGGUCAUUAAGGUUAAUGACCUCAGGUCAUCACACAAUCCCAAAAGCACUCAAAUUCUAAUUUGGAAAUUAAGCUAAAGGCUAGCUAAAAACAAACAACUCUAUUUGCACACAUAACCGGGACAGCAGCAUAUACACAACUUCAUUCAACCAUAAUUAGAGAUCCAAACAUCCAAUAAAGGUAAUAUUAGACUUUCUGGAAAGCUUAGAUAAUUUUCUACAACUUUGUUAUUAUCUUCGAGAACUGAUUUAAAAGAUAAAAUAGCCAAACAGCAUGAAUAAACAAUUCUGUCCAGACCUUGGACAGAAUCAGACAUUAAGCUUCAUACAUCUAUAACCAGAGUUCUAGAUCACCAAAAUUCAUGAUCCAUAACAUUUUGGAAAGCUUAUGAAAAUUACUACAAUUCAUCUUUUAUCAUGAAAGCAUGCUUCAUAAGUUUAGUAGGUUGAAAUUGCACAACUACAGAAACUGAUCCAGAAUUUGACAGAGAGGAACCAUUUCUGAAACUUAAAUUUAAACAGGCAUAACUCAGAAACUAUAGGGCCAAAUGCCACCAAAAUUUAACACCAGCUAGAUACAUGAAUUCUAUACAACUUUGUUAUAGACAAGUUUCAUAUCCAACAUUAUUUACCUAGAGAAAUUCAUAAUGCUCUAAAAACUAUCGAGAAACCACUAACAAUUAAAUUAUAGAGAAAUCAUAUUUCAUUUAUGUUCCAAACUUGAACCUGGGCAAAACCCAGCUCACCAACAGUUGAAAUACAUCAAAGAGAUACUAGAAAACAUCAUGGUCAUCCCUAAAUAAAUUCCUUUCAUGUUUUUAUUAAUUUAUUUAGGUAAAUAGACAAAGCAAUAACCAUAUAUCAAAAGUACACAGUAAAUUCUGAGAAAACUACAGCAGCUCAUAUAUGCUAUCCAAAGUCUACUGUAUAAGUUUCAUGCCAUUUGGAUAAGUAUAGCAAUUUCCAUGAAAAAGAUAAAUUUCCAUCACAAAGAAGCAUGUAACGGCAAGAUAAAUAAGAAACUCGACAUUUUCUACAAACACAUAGCUAAAUUAUGUAUCUAUAUGAUAUAACAACCACAUAUAAAGACAGAGGAACCAUAUUUUACAUUUAUUUAUUUUUAGUUUAAUUUUAAACUAUUUAAUAAGCACUAAACAAGAUAAAUUAAUAACUUAACCAUAUAUCCUCUACUGAACAUGAAAUUUUUACUGUAACACUCACAUAACAUCACGAGAACACCAUAAAAAUUUCAGGACCAUAGGAGCUACACAGAAUUAGAUAUGAAUUUCUCCUUUUUAAACAUAAUUAAAAGGCAUAAAUCAUAACUAAUUAUUUUACUACAAAACAUGGUCAGUUCCAUAUUUUUAAUAAAAACUAGACAUUUCAAGGAGCACAACAAAAUUUGGUUCACCAAAAUUGGAGUUACCAAACUCCAGAUAUGAAUUUUCAAAGAUUUAACAAAACAUCUACAAACAAGUCCUUAUAGCACUAUUCACCUGAGUCACAGUCUCUGCAAUUAGACCCCUGGAGAACAUCAAAUUGUCGCGCGAAGUCCCUGGCCGCGAACUGAAAACAGAGGAGCUCGCCGGAGAUCGCAGUUUCGACGUUGGGGUGCUCGUCGGCGGCAGUGGAGCAGCGGGGGAGUUCACUUGGACUCACGCACACCCUCUGGUUCCCUCUACUUGGCCAGAGGUGGUCUGUGGAGGCAUGGCCACGUGAACAGCGGCACUGGCGGAGCUCUGGACGGGGCUAGGGGAAAACUUGGCGCUCCGGCCGCCGGGAAGGCGAGGGGACGAGUUGGGGAGCAUCAGGGGCUCAUCACGACUUCGUCAAGCUGCUCAGAACUGGUGGAAAAGCACGGAGGAGGGCUGGCCACGUGAAGCGCCCACGGCGGCGCUUUCGGCCGGAGUUGGGGAAGAAGAAGAAGCUCCAGCGAUUGGGCGGGUUAGAGGGCGUGCUAGGGAGCGCUCUGGGUUCGCAAGAGUGCGGCGAAAGUGGUGGAAGGCUCAAUUUGGUGAGAGAGGUGUUGAGCACGAUGAAUUUGAAGGGGAAGGGCGUCGGGUUUCUUUCGGUCAUGGACAGCAAACAGACGACGUCGCCCACGUCGAUGCUCAGAAAGGAGAAAGGAGCGAGGCUAUGACGU
rnacentral:lncRNA from 1 species